UACGUAGGGUGCAAGCGUUGUCCGGAAUUAUUGGGCGUAAGAGCUCGUAGGCGGCCUGUCGCGUCGACCGUGAAAACCCGCAGCUCAACUGCGGGCUUGCGGUCGAUACGGGCAGGCUGGAGUUCGGUAGGGGAGACUGGAAUUCCCGGUGUGAGCGGUGAAAUGCGCAGAUAUCGGGAGGAACACCGGUGGCGAAGGCGGUUCUCUGGGCCGUUACCUGACAGCGCGAAGCGAGGGACGCGGGAACGGAA
rnacentral:rRNA from 1 species